rnacentral:rRNA from 1 species
UUUAAUGAGAGUUUGAUCCUGGCUCAGGACGAACGCUGGCGGCGUGCCUAAUACAUGCAAGUAGAACGCUGAGGUUUGGUGUUUACACUAGACUGAUGAGUUGCGAACGGGUGAGUAACGCGUAGGUAACCUGCCUCAUAGCGGGGGAUAACUAUUGGAAACGAUAGCUAAUACCGCAUAAGAGUAAUUAACACAUGUUAGUUAUUUAAAAGGAGCAAUUGCUUCACUGUGAGACGGACCUGCGUUGCAUUAGCUA